AUUAUUCCUCUCUUGACAACACAGGGAAAUUGAAGGAUCAGAAAGAUUCACAACUUUCAUCACGGACGGAAAAUUGAAUUGUUGCAUUUUUCUAUACACGAAUGGGGACUCUAUCGUAACAGGACGUACACCAAGAUCACAUACUGAAAUAUAAAGAUUACCUUCCUACAUGUAAAAACAAGCUAUUCUACAAUUCGCACGCAGUGUUAUACGUUACUGAUACCUACCUUCCUCUGAUCCCAACAGCAGGUUUGUUGAACGUGUAGACUCUACAGAAG